rnacentral:rRNA from 1 species
AGCGAACGCUGGCGGCAGGCUUAACACAUGCAAGUCGAGCGGGCGUAGCAAUACGUCAGCGGCAGACGGGUGAGUAACGCGUGGGAACAUACCUUUUGGUUCGGAACAACACAGGGAAACUUGUGCUAAUACCGGAUAAGCCCUUACGGGGAAAGAUUUAUCGCCGAAAGAUUGGCCCGCGUCUGAUUAGCUAGUUGGUGAGGUAACGGCUCACCAAGGCGACGAUCAGUAGCUGGCUGAGAGGAUGAUCAGCCACAUUGGGACUGAGACACGGCCCAAACUCCUACGGGAGGCAGCAGUGGGGAAUAUUGGACAAUGGGCGAAAGCCUGAUCCAGCCAUGCCGCGUGAGUGAUGAAGGCCCUAGGGUUGUAAAGCUCUUUUGUGCGGGAAGAUAAUGACGGUACCGCAAGAAUAAGCCCCGGCUAACUUCGUGCCAGCAGCCGCCGCGGUAAG